UUGAACGCUGGCGGCAGGCCUAACCAUGCAAGUCGAGCGGAAACGAGUUAUCUGAACCUUCGGGGGACGAUAACGGCGUCGAGCGGCGGACGGGUGAGUAAUGCCUAGGAAAUUGCCCUGAUGUGGGGGAUAACCAUUGGAAACGAUGGCUAAUACCGCAUGAUGCCUACGGGCCAAAGAGGGGGACCUUCGGGCCUCUCGCGUCAGGAUAUGCCUAGGUGGGAUUAGCUAGUUGGUGAGGUAAGGGCUCACCAAGGCGACGAUCCCUAGCUGGUCUGAGAGGAUGAUCAGCCACACUGGAACUGAGACACNGUCCANACUCCUACNGGAGGCAGCAGCGGGGAAUNUUGCACAAUGGGCGCAAGCCUGAUGCAGCCUGCCGCGUGUGUGAAGAAGGCCUUCGGGUUGUAAAGCACUUUCAGUCGUGAGGAAGGUGGUAGUGUUAAUAGCACUAUCAUUUGACGUUAGCGACAGAAGAAGCACCGGCUAACUCCGUGCCAGCAGCCGCGGUAAUACGGAGGGUGCGAGCGUUAAUCGGAAUUACUGGGCGUAAAGCGCAUGCAGGUGGUUUGUUAAGUCANAUGUGAAAGCCCGGNGCUCAACCUNNGAAUUG
rnacentral:rRNA from 1 species